rnacentral:lncRNA from 1 species
UCCUGCUUGGAAAUUAAAUGAUGAUUUGGCAUGGCUUUCACAUGACUUUGGUGCGAUUCGUUCGGAGGCAAAAUGUUGCGGCAUUGGAUUUGUUGUGAUGUUCGAUUUCAAUCUGGUCUAGGAAUCCCAAGGAAUACAAAUGAUAAGCUUUUUCUUCUUUGUUCAUGCCAUCUUAGUACAUCGAGACUUGGUGAAUUUACGCAGAACUCGUUACGUUUGAUGCUGCAUGAGGACAUGCUGAGUUUGUGGGCGUAAAGUUUCAUGGUAUUCAUUAGGAGGAGUUCGUAUGGUUAUGAAUGACUUUGAGUUGGUGUGUGUGUAGUUUGUUAUUGUAGCAUGACUUGUGAUGGAGAAGUAUGAGGUGGUUUGAGUGAAGAUAUAACGUAUGGGUUUAUGAAGAUAUGGAGUUUUUAAGAGAUCAAAUGGGAGGUGUUUGUAAUGGUGGUUUAUACAUAUGAGAUAAAUAGUGGAUAUGAAUGAGGAAAUAAUAUGCAGGUCAUUUUUUGAGGUGAAAAAGGGAGUACAGUGAGAUUAUAUUGAAGAAAAAGAACAGAAUUGUUAUGCGUGUUGUGUUGAAGUUGAGAUUUAUGAAGUGUGUUUAGUUCCACAUGGUAUACAUGAAGGUGAUGGCGGUGUUGGGGAAGAAUAUGCAGCCAAGGAUUGUGCUUUGAGCUUCAAAAGCAUCUGUUUUCUGGCGUGCUAGCUGAAUUCGCAAUUGACGAUUCUCAUUUUGCAACUCAAGUAUUAGUUGCGCCUGGUAUGUUUCUGUUUUAGGUACCAGUAAUAGAUCCUCGUUUGCAUCAGGUGCCUUUGUUCGAAUCUCCUUGGCUUUAUCAGCCCAAUGAAGGGUGUUUUGAGUUUCACCGAAUGAAAGGAUACUUGGGCUUAUGUUUGCAAUCAUGACAGUGUUGCAAGUUCCUCCUAAUGCAUCUUUGAGGCUGUAACACUGUCGCCAAUACUUAGCAUCAUAAUCUCUAGUAAGACUCUCCUUUUGAAGAGAUUUGUCUUCUGCAAUGAAAAAUUCACCAUAAGGAUCAUCUAUUACUCCUUCAUAGACCCAUAUUUCGAGUAUGCUCAUGUAGGCUCUACUUGCACAUUGUCAUUUUCUCCAGCAACAACCUGACUGCAUUGUCUCCAGCCAUAGCCUUUGCCUGACUCUGCAAUAAGUUAAGAAUGGCAGAAACAGAAAAAUUAUUGGUUGAAGCCUUCUGUAUAACAGUAGACAAUGCCUGCAUUGACCUCAACAUGGGCUGACAGUAGAACCAUAAUCCUUGAAGGGAAAGUCUCCCAAGCCGGAAUUGGUGCUCAAGUUGUGCCACGAAGGCCUGGUAAUCGAGAAGGAAUUCCCUAAGGGCGGAAAAAAAGGCAUGAUUAACUAGCCCAUUCUGGAACUGAGACCUUGAUUCCAUAAAUUGGUUGAUCAACAGAAAUCUCCUACAAAUAGGGAAAAUCCAUUUUGCCAACUCCUGCAGUGUCAAAUCCAUAGAUGGGUCCACCAGGAAAUUAAUAAUUUCAUCCUUCUUUCCACGAAGUGUUUUGAUUGAAAUGUAACGUCCUUCAACCCCAACCAUAGCAGAGAGCACUUCAUCAAUAACAAUAAUCUCUUGUUAUGAGGCUCAUAAUAGCCGAUAAGAUUUUCAAAUCCUGCGGCGGUUUGUCCAAUGGUUCGACAGCAGCACCACAAGCCAGGCGUGUUCACACUCAGCUCAGAAUCUUGAACUAGACCAAAUGGUCUAGCUUUAAUCAACCAAUCUUUCAGAGACUCGUAGACAGCAAAGUUGAGACCAACAUAAGGAACAACUCCAAUUACUGAAGGAAGCCAAUCCUUAUAUAAAGCACGUGGAACUUCUUGCCUAAGCACAGUAGUCAAAGCAUGGAACAUUCCUCGGUACUGAUAAGGGGAUAUCUCGAUCUGUACAGUUAUCCUGCCUCGGACCAUAUCCAUUGGAUAAGUUGCAGACAUAGCAAUUAUUCCAGCACAUGCUCCAGCUACUGCAGUAUAUCCAUCAAAUAAUUUACAAAAGAUUGUUGCCUAAGAGAAUCACAAGCUUGAAGCAGCUGUGAUGCAAAGUCGUUCUUCUCUUGAUCAUCAACUGAAGUCUUGGAAGUGGAUGAAGAAAGUUGGGUUACAUUUUUAUCAUGAACAUUAAUAGUUCCACUGUGUCUUAGCAUGGAACCGUCACUACCGGGCUGAUGCCAAUUUCUAAGCAUCAAUGUGAAAAACAUGAAGACUAGGAUCGCAACUUCCCCAAGAAUCUCAUCCGACACACCGUUAAAAUUGUUGUCGAAAAACCAACAGUUCUUCAUAUUAGCAUUAUCCGGAACUGAACUGGAAGUUUAAACGGCGGUGGCGGUAGAGUGAAUGAUGAAGAGAUGAGGAAGCACUUAUCUACUGCUGCACUUGAUGGAUGAUGUUGAACUAUUUUCUCUAUGAAUGUCAAGAGCCAUUUGACAGAGUUUCUCUGCUUCAUUAAAUUGCAAAGCUUGAACAUUAGAUUCAAAUUCAAAUUCUCUCUGAUUCUUAGUGAUUUUUCUUUUCACUGCAGCUUGACUAGUAUGUUCUAAUGUUGCCUUAUAUUGUUCCAUAGGUGCUCUUUCCCAUUAUCUCAACAGUUGUACACAACAGAUCGUCGGCCAUGAAAGCGAACGGUCCAUCACAAUGUACUAGUUUGCCUCCCGCCUCAACGUCCGCUUCGACUUCUCCGCCGAUAGGAGAGACUCCUUUUCCUGUCCUUGCAGAAGUCGCUGCUGAUCUCGCAGUAACGUGCCCCUCCUCGUCAUUCGAUGUUUUUCUCUUCCGGAACAGGCAGAAGAACAGAAUACAGCACACUGUUAUCAGGACUACAAAUAACACUCUUGUUACAAUGAGGAUUAUGUCUUUAGCCCCGAGUUUCUUAUGAUGACGAUGUUUCGAUACUUCAGAAGGUGCACCUUCUCUUUUUCUACACAGUAUGCAACAAUGAUAUUGCAUGCUUCAACAUUUAAUGUGGCAAGCUUCUGCAAACCUCUUAAGUAAGAAAUCCCAAGAUCAGUAAUAUUGUUGUUGGAAAUUUGCAACUCCUUUAAAUUAAUAAAACCUGAGAUAGCCUUCAUGUCGGAAUCCGUAAUACAUUUACAGCAUCCGAUAUUAAGAGACUCGAGCUUUUUCAGACCUUUAAAAUGAACAAAUUCGCCAUGAAUAUAUGAACACCUCUCAAGGUCCAACUUCUCCCAAUUAAUUAAGUUGGAAAAUGCUCGCAUUCCAUCCGGUGUGACAGCACAGCUCUUCCUGAUGCUCAAUGAAGCCAAGUUUGAUAGACCAUUGAUGUGUUUGAGUCCGUGUUCAGAAAAUUGAUCACAGUAAUUAAGGGUCAAUGCUUGAAUAUUUGAGCAAUUCUUUAAGAGUCGCAGUCCACUGUCGGUCACAUUAGAGCCAGAAACAUCAACAGCAAGUAAAGAAGACCCUUGUGAAGCAAUGACGUUCAUCCAAUCAUCAUUCACUCCAAGAUAUUCUCUCAAGUAAACAUCCUCAAGAGCACAAUCACGAAAAGCAUUAAGAGAUGCUUCUGUAAGACAAUGAGAAUCCACCAAUUCAUUGAAGAUCUGCUGGCUUAUGUGUCUUGGUAGAAUUGAAAACAUAUGGUAUUUAUGAAAAUCCUCACGCAUCUUAUUUAUGCAUAAAUCCAUAAGAGGGGAAAAAGUACCCACUCCAAGAAAAUGAUUUGUCCUAGAACGUAAACUUCUUUCUCUUAACCAUUUUGUGAUUGCACUUCUACAGUACCUUCCAGAUACUCCCCUGUGUAAAUCAUCUUCUAUAACUUGUCUCUUCCUAGAACAGAUUCCACCCAUGACUUAACUUUUUUACAAUACUGACACUUGAUUAUUAAUGCAUGAAAAAUCAAAUUUCCAUUUGAGAACAAUAUUCUUAGGGAUUGAACUGGUGAUGCAUGACAUGUGGCGGUACUUGUUAUUGGGGAAGAGUGAGAAGAGGGAGCUUUACAGUUUCAGCAUUUGAGUUUAAUUCAGGUAGUUGAGCUAUAAAUAAUAUAAAUGAAUCAACCAUUUGUUGGAGUGUCAAAAACCCACUGAAGUUGUAUUGCAUUGUUGGUAUAGCAUUAAACACCAAGUUCCAAGUCAUCUUCAUUUGUAAUUUUAGUAAAAAGAAACAUUGGAAUUGAUUUUAAUGUGAACAGUGGAGUUGAUUUUUAAUUAAAAGAGCAAUGGGAUUGAUUUUUAAUUAAAGAACAUUAGAAUUGAUUUUUAAUAUGAACAGUCCUGGAAGCCUUGAUGGUAGUAUUACUGCCUGUCCAGACAAAUCCUUAUCGAGGUCUGGAAUUUGUUUAUACCACAAACUUAUCACCUGAGACCGAUAAUGAUUCCCCAAAAGUUCCAAAGGGAAGUGUUAUGCGAUUAACAACUCUCCAUUCUUAGUAUUCAAUUCAUAAACGUAAAACAUUGAAGAGCCAACAAAGGCAGCUACAAAAAUCACUUCAAGAGACUGAACAAUAUGGUUAAAUUCAAUGUUGUCAUUGGAAAGAUCUUUCCUCCAGAGAAUUUCACCGCCUAUGCUAGAAAUAGCAUGGAGAUGCCCUUUACCAUAAACAAAAAUCAAAUCAUCUUUGUCAGCUUUCAAAAAAUUUGGAAUGUUUAAUAUUGACUUUGAUUCCUUUGAUCCCUGAAGGUGAGAGAACCCUAAUCGUUGUGGCGAUGGCGAUUCAGCCGCACAGAAGGAUUUGAAGAGUGAGUGAGUGAUUGGGAAAAGUUUUUCAGGGCCGAAAUCAGGGUAUGACAGGAAGAGAUAACAUUCAAUAAUAUCGGAGGAACAUGAAUCUUAUCUGCAUAUAUUUGACACUUGAGGCAUUUCUUCACAAACUUCCAACAGUCAUAUUCCAUUGUCAGCCAAUAGUAACCUGCUCGCAACAUCUUCUUUUCCAUUGCAUGUCCAUUGGAAUGAGUACCAAAGGAACCUUCAUGCACUUCAGUCAACAAUAAGUCUGCUUCGUGUCUAUCCACGCAUCUGAGCAAAACCAUGUCGAAGUUUCUCUUGUACAGUAUAUCACCAUUCAAGUAGAAAUUACUGGUUAAUCUUCUCAAAGUCUUCUUAUCUUUCAAAGAUGCCCCAGACGGGUAAAUCUGACUUUGGAGGAAACAUUUAAUGUCGUAAUACCACGGCUUCUCAUCUUUUAUUUCUUCAACAGCAAACACAUGGGCUGGCCUAUCAAGACGCAUCACAUACAAGUUGGGAACUUCAUUCCAAUACUUCACUACAAUCAUAGACGCCAACGUUGCAAGAGCAUCUGCCAUCCGGUUUUCAUCUCGAGGGAUAUGAUGAAACUCAAAUUUUGUAAAGGAAGUUGAAAUCCUCCUCGCAUAAUCUCUAUACGGUACCAAACCAGGUUGGUUCGUCUCCCAAUCACCUUUGAUCGGAUUCACAACCAAAGCGGAAUCUCCAAAGACAUCUAAAUACUUGAUUCUGAGAUUCAUGGCCUCUUCAAGCCCCAUAAUGCAAGCUUCAUAUUCUGCCAUAUUGUUUGUACACUUGAAAGUCAAUCUAGUUGUAAAUGGUAGAUGCGUUCCUUAAGGAGUAAUGAUCACUGCCCCAAUGCCAUUUCCAUAUUGAUUAACAGCUCCAUCAAAUACCAUGCCCCAACAGGAACCAGGUUCUGGCCCUUCUUCAAGCAAUGGUUCAUCACAAUCUUUCAUUUUCAUCAACAUAUAUUGACGCAGACGCUUAGCAGCCCAAGCCAAUGCGCAACAAGUCUUCUCAAGCAUAGAAUACCGAGUCUCACAGUCGGUGAACUUCUUACUGAGGUAGUAAAUUGCAAAUUCUUUCUUCCCAAUCUCAUCUUGCUGACAUAGAACGCAACCCAUACUGUCUUCAAGCACAGUCAAAUACAUGAUCAAUGGUCUUCCUUCACGGGUGGAGACAAAAUCGGAGGCUCAAGCAGAUACUCUUUGAUACUGUCAAAAGCUUUCUGGAAUUCUUCGGUCCAAUCACAAGACUGGUCUUUCCAAAGAAGCUUGAAUAUAGGUGCACAUGUGGCAGUCAUGUGGGAAAUUAAUUUGGAGAUAUAAUUCAAGCGGCCGAGAAAACCUCUGACUUGCUUCUCGAUUUUGGGCGCAGGCAUCUCUUGUAUUGCUUUGACCUUGGCAGGAUCAACUUCAAUACCUUUCUCGCUGACAAUAAAGCCCAACAACUUACCAGAACGAACACCAAAAGUACACUUAUUGGGAUUCAAGACAGGAUCAACUUCAAUACCUUUCUCGCUGACAAUAAAGCCCAACAACUUACCAGAACGAACACCAAAAGUACACUUAUUGGGAUUCAAGCGGAGUUUAUAUUUCCUCAAACGCUGGAAUAGCUUCAAUAAAUUCUCAACAUGUUCCUUUUCAUCAAUUGAUUUAGCAAUCAUGUCAUCGACAUAUACUUCAAUCUCUUUAUGCAUCAUAUCAUGAAAAAGAGUAACCAUUGCUCUUUGGUAAGUUGCACCAGCAUUCUUUAAACCGAAAGGCAUCACUCUAUAACAGAAUGUUCCCCAAGGUAUAAUGAAUAUGGUCUUCUCCAUAUCUUUGGGUGCCAUCUUGAUCUGAUUAUAUCUGGAAAAUCCAUCCAUAAAAGAAAAGACUUUGAAUUUAGCAGUAUUGUCUACCAACAUAUCAAUGUGUUCCAGAGGGAAAUCAUCUUCCAGACUGGCUUUAUUCAAAUCUCUAUAAUCAACACACAUGCGGACUUUUCCAUCUUUCUUCGGCACAGGCACAAUAUUAGCCACCCAUUGCGGAUACUCAGCGGUCACAAGGAAACUAACGUCAAUUUGUUUCUUCACUUCUUCUUUGAUCUUCACAGCCAUAUCAGGAUGCGUUCUUCUCAACUUCUGCUUGACUGGCGGGCAUUCUGGCUUAAAUGGCAAUCUAUGCUCCACAAUCUCAGAAUCCAAACCAGGCAUGUCUUGAUAGGACCAAGCAAACACAUCUAAAUACUCUCGAAGAAGAUCAAUCAACCCUUUCUUGACAUCUGGACACAAUCGAGACCCAAUCUUGACUUCCUUCACAUCAUCCUCGGAACCCAAGUUGACUAACUCAACCUGCUCUUCGAACGGCUGAAUGGUCUUUUCAUCUUGCUCAAGAAGACGAGAUAAUUCAUCACUCACUUCUAUAUCACUUUCCUCCUCGGCUUCAAACACAGGGAAUUCAAAAUUUGGAGAAGGAGAAGGAUCAUUGUAUUCAAUGGGGUUAGGAACCAACCUGCAUAUAUAUCACUUUCCUCCUCGGCUUCAAACACAGGGAAUUCAAAAUUUGGAGAAGGAGAAGGAUCAUUGUAUUCAAUGGGGUUAGGAACCAACCUGCAUAAUGAUUUGAUAUUUUGAUUUUAGAGAAGUGGGUUUGUGACCAAAUAUUAUGCAGAUGGACAAUUAUAUAAUUUAUUUAUGUUUUUUGUGAUUUCCAUUUUCAAAAUAAAGCAAAAAGUAAAACCAAACAUCAUAGAUGUGGAUGAACAGAAUUAAUUUUAUUAAUGAUCAAUUUGAAAAUGCCCAACAAUGUUCUCUUCUCCCUUAGGCAUAGGAGAAGGAUUUUGAAAACAUAUAAAAGCAAUUACUUAGAUCGAUGCAAAAUAGCAGGAACAUCAACAGUGGUCCAAUUGUUGCAAGCCUUUCCAUGCAUCACAAAAUUGGUGCAGCAUUUCCAUGCAAGCAUUUCCAUGCUAAGUGUUGUUCGUUGCCAUGAAUGAACCCUCCGCUACGAAAGCUAAGUUGCAUAUCUUCAGACCUUGCGGUUGAUGAACCUUUCUGGAACCCCAAACCGGUUAUGCCUUUGUUGUCGGAGACCUCUACCAUGCGCCCCCACUGAUCAACAUUGCCUUCUUCUAUAAUCUUCUUGGCAUCUUUCAAUGAAGACAUAGGUGCCCCAACUCUCUUUUCAGCAGCAAUAGACAAGGCUUGGAACGGAGUUCCAACCUCAUCCUCAACUUUAACAUAAGAGAAAGAUGACAGGUGGCUAACCAACAUCUCCUUCUCCCCACCAACAAUCACAAGCUUUCCAUUCUUCACAAAUUUAAGUUUCUGAUGCGAAAUGGAGGUAACAGCUCCUGCCUCAUAGAUCCAUGGCCUUCCCAACAAGCAACUGUAGGCCGGGUGGAUAUACAUUACUUGAAAAGUAAUUUGAAAAUCACUCGGACCUAUCUUAACCGGAAGGUCCACUUCACCAAUAACUGUUUUGUGUGAACCAUCAAAAGCUUUGACGAUUACACCGCUAUACCUCAUAGGCGCUCCUUGGUAUGAUAGCUUUGACAGAGUUGACUUCGGCAGCACAUUCAGUGACGACCCGGUGUCAACAAGUACAUUUGACAAAGCAUCCUCUUUGUAAUUCAUAGAAAUGUGCAAAGCUAGAUUAUGAUUUCUUCCCUCCUCAGGGAGUUCUUCAUGACAAAAACUAAGAUUAUUGCAAGAAGUGAUGUUAGCCACGAUAUGAUCGAAUUGAUCCAUUGUAACAUCAUGUUCUACAAAUGCUUGUUCUAAAACUCUCUGUAGUGCUUCUCUGUGCGCUUCAGAAUUCAUGAGCAGAGACAACACUGAGAUUUUUAAGGGGGUUUGGAGCAGCUGCUCCACCACAUUAAACUCACUCCUUUUGAUUAACUGAAGUAAUUCAUCAUCAUCAUUAGCCUUCAAGUUGCUGGAUUCACCAUACUUACCCUUUGAAGUACCAACUGGAUCUACAACAGGAAAUUCUACCUUCUUUUCAACAACUUAUUCUUCCUUAUCCUUUGGGAACACCGGCCCAAACACACGACCACUGCGGGUCACCUUGGUUACAUCAACAAUGUUUACCACAGAGCUAGUCGUAGGUAACGGGACCUCUUGACCACCUUUUAUCAUUGUAGCAUUAUACUGAUACGGCACAGCUUUAUCAGAUGAAUACGGUAUUGGGCCCGCUAACCAUAUAACCAACGACGGUACUGAUCUAUUGCUGACAUUGUUAUUAUUGAUGAUGUCGUACUGAAUUACCAAUCUCUCUGGCUUCUUGAAAAUGGGCACUAUAACAUUUACAUCGUCAUCUACAUGACGGGAUUGAACAAUUUGAAUCAUAUCAUCCAUCAGUCGUUGGAUGUCCUUUUUCAUAACUUCGCAACCCCUUGAAUUAAUACUGCAAACAGCACAACCAUCAUGGUCAUGCUCACAAUCACUCACCACACAAAUGUCCUUAUGCAUCUGCACCAAGGAUCUUCGGAUAAAACGCACAUCAAAAACCUUAAACUCGCCAGGGCAACCAUCCACCAUAUUCACAAAAGAGUUCCCAUGGGCGGUUAAUGAAUUUGCUUUCACAUUCGGUGCUCGAUCCUCAAAGAACACCAUUCCACUAUUCAUCAGCUUCUAAACCUCAUACUUGAGCAGAUAACAAUUCUCGAUAUCAUGUCCGGGUGCUCCUUGAUGAAAAGCACAAUGAAGCUCAGGCUUGUACCACCAUGGAAGUGGUUCUGGAAUUUGCGGCGGGUUUCUUGGUUGGAUUAGGUUCUUGAGAACCAAAGAUGGGUAUAAUUCUGCCUAAGACAUAGGAAUCGGGUCGAAAGAGACCUUCUUCCUCUCGAAGUUUUGUUGAUGAUGAUUGUUAUUGGUAUUGCUGUUGUUGUAGGUGUUUGCUCGUUGUUAUGGUUGUUGUUGUAGACGUUGUGGUUGUUGAACUGGUGUUGAUUGUUGAUUAGAAAACACAGGGAUAACUGAAGAUACUUGAUGAUGAUGUUGACGGGAUGGUUGAUUCCUUCUGAUCUGAGGCCUCCUCUGCCUCCCACUGCUUAUUGCAUUUGCUUCAUUGUCCUUUUUCUUCCCAAAAUUGCUACCAUAUCUCUUACUCGAAGAUGCUUCAUCUUUCGACAAACGUCCCUCUCGGACUCCUUCCUCAAGCCUCAUCCCCAUGUUUACCAUUUUGGUAAAGUCACUAGGGGCACUAGCAAUCAUUCGUUCAUAAUAAAAUGAACUCAUAGUUUUUAGAAAGAUCUUUGUCAUCUCUUUUUCCUCCAAAGGAGGAGUGAUCUGGGCAGCCAAUUCUCUCCAUCUCUACGCAUACUCUUUAAAUGUCUCCUUAUCCUUCUGAGACAUAGACCUCAGUUGGUCUCUAUCAGGCGCCAUGUCCACAUUGUACUUAUACUGCUUGACAAAAACCUCUCCCAAGUCGUUGAAAGUAUGAACGCUUCCACUGUCUAAUCCCAUAUACCAUCUGAGCGCAGCACCAGUCAGACUGUCUUGGAAGUAGUGAAUCAACAGUUGAUCAUUGUCGGUCUGAGUAGACAUCUUGUGAGCAUACAUCACUAGAUGACUGAGUGGACAAGUGUUCCCUUUGUACUUUUCAAAGUCAUGCACUUUGAACUUCACCGGGAUCUUCACAUUGGGCACUAAACACAACUCAGCAGCACUCUUUCCAAACUAGUCCUUACCCCUUAGCAUCUUCAAUUCCUUGCGCAACUCAAGAAACUGAUCUUUCAUUUCAUCCAUUUUCUCAUAAACAUCCGGACCCUCAGACGGCUCGGAGUGAUAAAUGGUGUCCUCUACAUGAGGUAAGGUGUGCACAACGGGAGGUGGCAAAGACAUGACCGAGCUAGAUGUCGGCAUGGAAGCAAAAGUAGGCGCAAAGCCUUCAGGCAUAAAGUUCGGCGACAUUCCCCAUGGGAAUCCGACAGGCAUAGUGGGCUCAAAAUGAGCGGUAGCAGCAGGCAUGGUAGAGGUAGCCACCUCUGAAAUAACAGUCCUCUGAGGAGGAGGAGUUGCAGGCGUUAGAGAAGCUUGGCUCUGAGCAGCAAGAACUGACUCCAUCAUGGAAGUCAGGCGGGCGAUCUCGUCCUUCAGCUCUUUGUUCUCUUGCUCUAGAUGCUCCAUAAUUUUGAGAUGAUUAGCGCAGGUGUUGUACCGAUGAGUCAGUCAGCUUGGCUAAAGCACAUAAGAAACACCAAUGAGACAUCUCGGGAAAGAGAAACCUGCUUAUGUAAAUGAUGCAUGAAAUGCAAUGCUUAUUUAUUUAUUUUUGUUUUCAAGGAACUUACUAUAUCAUUUGCAAAUAUAUAUAUAUAUACUAUUAUAUAUUAUAUAUAUAUAUAUAUAUAUAUAUAUAUAUAUAUUAUAUAUAUAUAUAUAUAUAUAUAUAAUAUAUAUAUAUAUUAUAUAUAUAUAUUAUAUAUAUAUAUAUAUAUAUAUAUAUAUAUAUAUUAUUAUAUUAACAAUUGCAACAAUUUGAUAUGCAUAAAAAUCUCUUUGUUAAUUUAUAUAAUUGGAAGGAUUACACUGUAGUAAAAUUUCAGAACCAAAUGGAAAAUACAAGAGAAAAGGAGACUAGUCAUCCUAAGGAUCCUAACAACACGUUAGAAACUAGCUGAAGGGCGUACUUCCUUCGAUGCGACGGAUCUCAUCUCAAAUGCCUUCAUCUGAGUCUUCUCGAGGACAAGCUGAUCAACAAUCUUCUUCCAAGCAACGGAAGGCUGAGGCAUGCUAGAAGAUGAAACCUCUGGCUCUCUCUGUCUCUUUGUCACUCGGUCUUCAAGUAGCUCAAUGAGUGCAUCCUUGUCCUUAGACUCCAACUUCAACUCUUCAUGCUUCUUGCUCAAAGCACAUAAACGCUCUUCCCAUAUAUCCUUCUCUUGCUUCAUCUUUGCGAGCGCGACUUCCAACUCAUUUACAUCUUGGUUAGGGAGAGUUAAUGGCUCAACCACAACCAUAGACAUAGGUCAUUCACAAGGAUAGGGCAUCUUCAACUCCAAGGCUCUCUUCUUCACCGAAAGAGUGUAAGCUUCCAAAGCUACACAAUUGUGUGGACCAAGCUCGGAUCUUCUCUUCCUAUGCAUAUUAUGCCAAGCAUGCACAAUCUUCUGCUUCAAAUGUUGGGGAUCUUUACCCUCUUAAUAGAAAAGACCUUCUAAUAAAGUGUUAUUAGGUUUGUCUCUCAAGGGGAACCCAAGUUGACGACGAGCCAAAGCAGGGUUGUAGUUAAUUCCUCCUUGUGUACCAAUGAGAGGCACAUUAGAGUUUGUCUCUCAAGGGGAACCCAAGUUGACGACGAGCCAAAGCAGGGUUGUAGUUAAUUCCUCCUUGUGUACCAAUGAGAGGCACAUUAGAGAAUUCACCACAGCUAUCAAUAAUCUCCAAACUGCUCAAAGACGGAUCAUACCAAACUAUAUCAUCAUUAGUGAGAGACAUAAGUCUCUAAGAACACCGUAGACAUUGUUUGUUCGCCACAAAAGCAGGUGUCUGAGGAAAGUGCGAAAUAAACCACUUGUACAGAAGAGGAAUGCAACAGACAAUGGUUCCACCACCCUUAGAAUUCCUUAGAUGCAAAGAGAAAUACAUAUCACCCAACAAAGUAGGCAUAGGAUUCCCAAUCAAGAAAAUUCUAAUGGCGUUAACAUCAACAAAAUCGUCAAUGUUAGGGAACAAAGUUAAUCCAUAAAUGAGCAACACAAAGAUAGCUUCAAAAGCAUCCACACUACCGGCUUGAGCAAAAACAGUAGCUUCCUUGAUGAGGAAAUCAGAUGGCAACCCAAACAAUCCUCCUUUCUUCACCCAAUGAGCCUCUAUCUUAGACUUCUUCAAGUGAAGAGCUUCAGCAAUAAGAUUAGAUCGGGGAAUCUCCUCCAAUCCACUAAAAGGCACUCUACUAGAAACAGGUAUCCCCAAAAGAUGAAAAUACUCCUCCAAGGUAGGCACAAGCUGAUAAUUUGGGAAAGUGAAAUAGCGGUAGAGAGGAUCAUACAACUGCACUAACACACUCAUAAGUCCUUCAACCACAUCAGCAGACAAGAUGGACAGAAGUUUCCCAUGGCGUUGUUUGAAGUCCAAGGGAUCUAAUACAAAAGAUGCUAGCUUCCUUAACUCUUUCAAGUCGGGACAUCUGAAACUGUACUUCUAAGUGUUCCUUCGUCCAUAAUCCAUGGUCUUAAAAUAUUUGCAAAUAAUACCUUAGUUCCUUGAAAUUUUUGUGUGAUGAAUGUUAUGAUGCGCAUGAAUGCAUGAAUGCAACAAUCACAAAUAAGGGAUCACACACAAGGCAAAUAAACAAAGGUGAAGGGAUGAAUCAAGUCAUUGUCAAGAUCAAUCAUACAUUUUGGUGGAUUAUGGUUUAUACCUUAUCAACACCCAAGUUCCAUUGAUAUUGACAAGACUUGAUUGGAUCAACCAAGAAUCAAGGGUUUGUUGUAAGUCACGAGCAUGGAGUUUGGGCAAGAACCAUCCCAAAGGAGUGAACUAAGGAUAAAAACGUGUAGAUCAUGCUCUUAAAAGUUCCCAGAGUCUUAAUUCCAUCUAUCGGAUAUUACAGGUUAAGACGACUGACUCAUCGACCCAUAAUAUUCUUAAGAGAAACUCGUCUGAGUGUAGUAUCGCGUAACAAAUGUUAUCAAGUCUACACUCGAACAGUUUCCGCACUACGUCCUAAAUAGGCCAAGAGGGGGUAAAUGUUCUACGGUCCUCAGCUUCUUGGACCCAAAUUAGAGAUAGUAAUGCCUAACCAAAAAAUACUUGUGUGACAUAUCCAAAUCCAAAAGGGUCUCCACUGAGCAGAUGGAUCUCAAGUCAACUUGUUAAGGACUACUCCACAUAAGUCGAACAUGACUAUACCAUCCUCCUAUCUUAAUUGCACUCAAGUUCGGGUUAGAACUUAUCUCACCACUCAAAGAUCACCAAGCACAACAGGCAGAUUAUAUCACACAUAGAUAUAUACAAACAUCACAUAUAUAUAAAUAUAUACACACAAAAAGUAGGCUAAACCCACUGGAGACUACUCCCCAGCAGAGUCGCCACUUAAUUUCUCUAGCGGUAAAUUCAUGAUCAUGAAGCUAUGGAUAAGCUAGACAUCAAAUAACAAGAGUCGCUACCGCGCUUUUAUUGUUUCCAUGGGAAAAGGGAAAAAGUACGAACAAAACCCAAAAGUAAGAAGUUUUCAAAUCAAAACUAAUAAAAUGUCAGAGAUUACAGGUAAGGGGGUUGGUUACACAGAGGGAAGGUGUUAGCACCCAAAGUAUCCUAGGUACUCCUAGGGAGCCCUUUUUCUGUGCAUAUGUAUUUGGUACAAAAAUAAUGUUUACAAACAAAUAGAAUGGGGGGAUAAGAAAAGAAUUCAUUAAUUAUAUUUUUGUGUUUGACAAAACCUUCAGACUUGUGCCCACGUACCAACAUAAAAACGAGGGAUCAAAACCUCGUAGUUCGUGAUACAAAUUUCAAAGUGGAUGCAUUGCUUUUAACAAAAUUUAUGUUUGAAAGGCACAAAGGCCUGAAAAUGGUUUGAAUGAGUUUGUUCUUUUUGGAUUUUUUGAAAGUUUAAGUCAAGUAUAAUUAAGUUUAUUUACAAGUUUGAUUUAAGAAAAGAAGUUUGAAAAUGCAAUGACAUAAGGCCAAAGUUUCUAUCUUUUUGCAAAGUGGUCAAAGUUUAGAACAAAACAAGUUCAAACAAAGAAAUUUUUUAAAAAGGGAGGGAGAGAUUUUGAAAUUUAAGAAAUGGGGAGAAGAUGAAGAAACUAAUUCUAUGCACAAAAUUAAAAGUUAAGGGUUGACAAGAUCUGACCAAUGGGUAGCAAUCCAAUAGACAAGAAUGUCAAUAGAAACCCAAAUUUCCUUGGACAUUUAGAAUCAAGCAACACACAAAUGCACAAUUAUAUUAUCUUGAAGAGCAAGGCAUCAAAUAAAGAUAGCCACAUCCAAGCUUUAGCCACUCCAUGCUCUUCUUCAAAUUAGCCCAUGUAACAGAUGAAUUCCACAAGUCACUGGUUCAAAAUAACAGCUUCACAAUGAUCAUGUUGCUGAUGAACUCAAAGGGAUCUUGAAUGAUGUAUCAGAUGAAGUUUCAAAUUUCAAGCACUUGGUUACACAAAAUUUGGCAUUGGCCAAGUCCUUUAGCAUAGGAAUGUUGUCUAAGUCCUAAGUCCAUUUAUCCAAGAUCAAGUCAACAGUCCACACAAAAGUUUUUUAGGGUUUUUGUUGUUAUUAUGUACAUUAAUGAUCGAAGACCACACAAACAAACAAAGUAUACGCAAAAUGGAAUAUAUCACACAAUAUGGUCCAAGUGGACAAAGUGAAAAUUUCAUUGACAUAAAUAAUUAUAAUGGUAUGAAUAAUGGCAAAUGAAUAAAGACUAAAAUUAAAUGACAUUAAAGUAAAUGGCUUGAAAUUAAAAGUUAGUUGUUAAUGAGUUAGAAGUUAGUAUUGUUUUGCUUUUGCUUUUCAUUUUUAAGUCAUUCUUUGGAGAACACUCAAUCCACUUAUCACAAGCAUGGAUCCUUGAGCCAAGGCAUCUUCCAAAGGAAGGAAAAAAGGCCAAGUUUCCAUACAAUACCAUGAAAGAGGGGAGACUUACAAUCUCACUAACUAGAAUGCUAUGCCUUUUAUGUCACAAAUUUAGCGCUAUGUUAAGCAAUCGUAAUUGGACUUAUGUAGAAGUCAUAACUAUCUGAGGUCGGACAAUAGAAAUUUGGUGUUAAUGCAUGUUAGAGACAUAGUAUAAUAGACUAUACUCAUGAAACAUACCACACACAAAAAGAAUAUGCAAAAGAGGUGGCCUAAUCUCAUCCAUACGUAUGUUGAUUUUUCAAUCAACUAGCCUUAGGACUUUGAGAUAUCAUAGGCCAAAUGAGAUGAAUGCAUAAAGAAUGUGAAUGAGAUGAAGAGGGAGGGGAAUGGAUCAAAACUCAAAUUGGUCAAAGGAGGACUUUUACCAAAUUAAUAUCAUCCCUUCAUUUUGGAAGAUGGAAUGUACGUUCCAUCAAUCCCCUAAAUCCAAUGAUAUUAACUUGACAAAGUCAAAUUAACCUUGACCAAGGCCCAACAACAAGAGUCAAACUCAAACAAGUGAUCACAAUUGGUCAACAUAAUUAAUUGACAUUUAUUCAAAUUAAAAAGACUAAAAUAAUACAUUUAAAUUAAAUAUGGUUUGUCAAAUUCCUAAAACCUCAUCAAAACACCAAAGUAAUGGUCAUGAGAUUUAUCAUAGGUCAAACAAGGUCAAAGGACCUUAGAGAAAAAAAUUUAGAAUUUUUAAACAAUUCAAAAUAAUCACAAAAUCAAUUAAAUCAUGAAAAAUAUUAAUAAUGAACCAAAAAAUGAUUUUAAUUCAAAAUAUGAAAGAGGAAAUUAUUUGAAUUUUUUUGAUGAAACUCUCAUAUUUUUGGGAUCAAUAUUAAAAUUAAUAUGAAUUAAUGAAAAUAAGCUAAUUAAAAUAAAAAUCAGAAAAUAGCAGAAAAACGUGGACCACUUGAUCUCCCUAAUUAAUUGAGGUGGCAGAUCAAGUGGUCCUCAGCGCGCGUUUCACAAUGGACACUAGUCAAUGCGUUGCAGGGAUGGUAUUUAAAACCAACGCACGAGAUUAAAAUGUUUGAAAAUGAUCUUGUGGUCUGGAGAGAUGCCAACACAUCGUCGGAGCUGUAACUCGGGUCUUCUUCUCCGGUGGACCUCAUCGGACAGAUCCACCCUCAACCGUCACCAAAAUAAAAAAGGAGGACAUGAUCUGAAAGAAAAAAUGGCGUAGAGCACGAAUCUGACCUCAAUUUUAACUAACUCCACAUAUAUAGAAAGAUAUGAGGAGUUGAAUUUUAAGGUGUGUCAACUGAGAAAAGGAGGACAUGAUCUGAAAGAAAAAAUGGCGUAGAGCACGAAUCUGACCUCAAUUUUAACUAACUCCACAUAUAUAGAAAGAUAUGAGGAGUUGAAUUUUAAGGUGUGUCAACUGAGUUGCUUCGGUUUGACCUCUAAGCAACUCAAUCUUCUUUCCUACAUUGGUAGGACUUCAGACAACCAAAGAUCUAAGAGAAUUGAGUAGAAUUGAGUGAGAAUCGAAAAGAUGAAGUUUUCUGAAAAUUACCUUCAAUGUUAUGCAUUUCUUGAUGUUGCUUGCUUCAAACACGAUUUGAUCACACUUGAGAAGCUAAUAGGAAGUGAUUGGAGAGGUUGCAAGGCUGUGGAUCCUGGAGUUCUUGAAUCUCCAACAGUUCAGAUUCAAACUCAAAUUUCAAAUUAAAAUUUCUCAGGUUUUCCUUUAGAAUGAGAGGGUUUCAAUGGGGGGCAAAGAUGGUGCGCAAAGUGUGAUUCAAAUAAGCUCAGAAGCCUUCUAAUUAUAGCCAAAGGAAAUGAUAUUUGCACACUUCAAAAUCUGUCCAAAAUUGGCAAUAUGGAUAGCACGAGUGCAUGGGCAUGUACAGGCCCAUGAUGCAAUGCAAUAAGGUCCAAAAUGAUUCAAAUUAAAGUCUGAAUGAAGCUUGAAUGGCAAGGCAUUAUCAACUGAAGUUUGUACAAUUGAUUCUUUCCAAUGAUGCAGCCCUAUUAAAGCCAUGCGCAGACCUAGCAAUCUUUGUCCAAAAUGCAUGAACUUGGGUUCUUUGGAAAGCUUGGAUCAAGGGAAACAAGUUUGAUGUUGAGCACUUUUGCAUUUGGAGCUUAGAAUAUGGAGAAUUUUGAGGUGGAAGUUUGGAAAUUUCAACAUGUUGAAAAUUUUUCUAAGUGUCAAGCUAUAUAUCUCAAUAUUCCACCUUGCUUAACAUUUUAUGUGAGCUUCAAAUAAGAAAAGUGUAUUCACAAAAGUUGUAAAUAUUUCAAAGACCUUAAAAAUGGUCACCAAUUUCAUGUCAUUUGGAUUUAGAAUGAUAGAGUUAUGCAUUUUUGAAGUUUGGAAAAAUCACAUGUUCAAUGGUAUAAGUCAAAAAUGACCUAUAAUGUAUCCUCAUAUAACAUGCUCAUAAAAUUUGAAUUUUCUCUCACUCCAAACAUAAAAGUUUAAGUAGACAUCUUUAAUUUGAUUGUGAAACUUGGAAAUAUUUAAUCUCAUAAAAGUUGAGAAAGUUAUAGCCUUGGGAAGUUGACUUUCAAAUUAGGGUUUAGACAAAAUGACCUAUAAUGUUUCAAUAUAGAAAAUGAUUUUCCAAGCAAAAAUAGAUCUAGGUCUCAACAUGAAAGUUGUUUGGAAUGUAAUUUAGAGUAACUUUGCUCUUGGAAUCAUUUUCGUAUGGUGAAAUUGUAGGAGAUAGGGUCUACGGAGACCCAGUUUUGAUCAGAUGAAUUCAUCUGGCCAACCACCAUCAACCAACUUGCUAACCUUCAAUUCUCUUGACUUUAUAGGCUUAUGGUAGAUCAUAUAUGCAUAAGAUGAUGAAUUUUGGAGUGUCCCUUGAGAAAUUUGAUCAAUUGGUGAGAUAGCUUGUUAGAGAAGUUACUCAAGAUACCCAGUCAAACUAGGGUUUUCAAGGCAAAUCACCUCCAAACUCUUGAAGAAAAUUUGAUCAAUAUAACAUGUAGGAAUCAAUAGAACUUAUAUAUGAUGCUCAUAAACAUUCUUGGAUCAAUUCAUGGUUGUUCUCUUUGUCAUGAGGGUCUCACGCCCUAGAUAUGAACCUGAUAAAUCAAUGGGAUCAUGCCUUACCUACAAAAGGGUUAGGCAAAUGCAAAGACAUAUUUUUGGUAUUUUGGUUAUUAAAAUGAUAAAAUACAAGUAUGAUAUAAUCACCUAGUGCUUGGUGAUCUCUCCCAAAACAAACCCAAUGAAAGAGGGGUAAGGAGGAUGCCAAGGUAUGAUCCCAAUGCUAAUGCUUAUGAUGAAAUUGCAUGAGGGAUCUUAGGGUCAAAAUUUGGGUCUUACAGAUUUGUUAAAAUUUCCAAACUCCCACCUCAAAAUUCAUAAUGAUACAAGAUUCAAAUGGAAAAGUGUUCAACAUAAGAGUUGUUCCUCUUGAUCUAACAUUUCCAAAGAGUCCAAUUUCAUCCAUUUUGGACAAGGUUUGAGUGGUAUGCACAUGGCUUGAACAGGGCAUCAUCAUUUGGCAAAAAUCAAACUUCAAACAAUUGUACACAUUUACCUUGUAUUCCAAUUCACUUUCAGAUUCAUGCACACUUGAUUAUGGACCUAAUUGAGUGACUUCAUGGGCCUGUACACGCCCAUGCAAGCAUGCAUCAUCCAUUGCCAAAUUUGGAAGUUGAAUUUGAAGGUGAAAAUAUCAUAAGCCGCAGCUAUAAAUAGAGACCUCUAGCCAGAAUAAAGGACCCUUGCGCGCCAAUUUUUCUCUAGUACCCUAAACCCUCACAUUUGAAAGGAGAAACCUGAGAAUUUUCUUUGAAAAUUGAGUUUGAAUCUCACUGUUUGGAGAUUCAAAACUCCAGGGAUCCAAAGCUUUUGUUCCAUUCUAAUCUACUUCUGCAAGCUUCCUGAGUGAGAUCAAGCAAGAAUCAAAGCAAGAGCAAUCGAAUCCUGCACAGCAUUGAAGGUAUUUUCCAGAUUUUUUCUUCUCUUCGAUUCUCUCUCAAUUCUCAUCAAUUCUCUUGGAUCCUUGGUUGUCUGAAGUCCUACCAAUGUAGGCAAGAAGAUUAAGUUGCUUUGAGGUCAAAUCGAAGCAACUCAGAUCAUGUACCUUAAAUUUCAACUCCAUGUAUCUCUCAAUAUACUUGGAGUUAGGAUGAAUUGAGGCCAGAUUCGUGAUCAGUGCCAUUUUUACUUUGAAAUCAUGUCCUUCUUUUUUAUUUUUGUGAUGGUGAUGAGUGAACCAGUCCGGCCAGGGUCGCCUGAGAAGGUGACCGGCGUUUUGCUCCGGUGAUGAGCUGGAAUAGUUCAGAGCCAUGUGAUCAUUUCGUUUUGUUUUAAUCAUGAGCGUUGGUUUUGAAUACCGUUUGUGUGGCACGCUGACUCAAGUGCAUGGUGGAACGCGCGUUUGGAUCCACUUGAUCUGCCACCUCAAUUUAUGAGGGAGAUCAAGUGGUCCACGUUUUUUCUGAAUAUUUGAAUUUCAUUUUAUUUGUGUUAUUUUCAUUAAUUCAUAUUAAAUUUAAUAUUGAUCCAAAAAAUAUGAGAGUUUCACCAAAAAAAUAUAAAUUUCUCUUUCAUUUCUGUUGAAUAAAUAUUUUUGGAUCAUUAUUAAUAUUUUUCAUGAUUAUUUUGUGAAUAUUUUUAAUUGUUUAAAAAUACUUUUAAGUUUCCAAAAAUUAUGAAACUUUUUCUCCAAGGUCCUUUGACCUUGUUUGACCUAUGAUAAAUCUCAUGGGCAUUUCUUUGGUGUUUUAAUGAGGUUUUAGGAAAUUGAUCAACCAUAAUUUAAUUUAAUGCAUAUUUUUAUUAUUUUUAAUUUUUUAAAUGCCAAAUAAAUUGUGUAGAGCCAUUUUAAUUGACUUUGUGAGUUUGACUUGUGUUGUUGGGCCUUGGUCAAAGUUGAUUUGACUUUGUUAGAUUAAGAUCAUUGGAUUUAGGGGAUUGAUGGAAUGUACAUUCCAUCUCCCAAAAUGAAUGAAUGAUCUUAAUUUGGUAAAAGUCCUCCUUUGACAAAUUUGUAUUGAAUCCAUUCUCCCUCCCUCUUCAUCUCAUUCCCCUUCUUCAUUCAUUCAUGUCAUGGACAUAUGACAUCUUUAUAUCCUAAGGCUAGUUGAUUGCAAAAUUAACAUGAGCAUGGAUGAGAUUAGGUCCCCCACUUUGCAUAUUCUUUUUGUGUGUGGUAUGUUUCAUGAGCAUGGUUCAUUAUACUAUGUCUCUAACAUGCAUUAACACCAAAAUUCUAUUGCCCGACCUCAAAUAGUUGUGACUUCUACAUAAGUCCAUUUACGAUUGCUUAACAUAGCGCUAAAUUUGUGACACAAAAGGCAUAGCAUUCUAGUUAGUGAGAUUGUAAGUCUCCUCUCUUUCAUGGUAUUGUGUGGAAACUUGGCCUUUUUUCCUUCUUUUGGAAGAUGUCUUGGUUCAAGGAUUCAUGCUUGUGAUAAGUGGGUAGAGUGUUCUCCAAAGAAUGACUUAAACAAAACAAAGCGAAAGCAAUACUAACUUCUAAUCAACUAACAACUAACAUUUAAUUUCAAGUCAUUUACUUUUAUGCACUUUAAUUUUUAAGCUUUUAAUUCAUUUGCCAUUAUUCAUACCAUUCAAUUUGUUUACUUAAUGUCAUUUUCACUUUGCCCAUUUGGGCCAUAUCUUGUGAUAUAUUGUGUUUGUAUAUACUUGUUUGUUUGUGUGGUCUUUUGACCUUAAUGUACAUAAUAAGAACAAAAACCCUAAAAAACAUCUUGUGUGGACUGUUGGUUUGAUAUGAGACUAUUGGACUUAGAAUUUAGGCAACAUUCCCUAUGCAAAGGACUUGGCCAAUGCCAACUUUCAUGAAACCAAGUGCUUGUGAAGUGAACAUUCAUCUGAUACAAUAUUGAAGAUCCAUUUGAGUUCAUCUGCAACAUGAUCAUUGUGAAACUGUUAUUUUGAACUUGUGUCUCAUGCCAUCUUUGAAGUCAUCUGAUACAUGGGAAAUUUUGAAGGAGAUUAUGGAGUUGCUAAGCUUGGAUGUGGAUAUCUUUAUUUGAUGCCUUGCUUUUCACCUCGCUAUUUGUGUAUUGAUGUUGCUUUAUUCUAAAGUCCAAUGUAAAUUUGGGUUUCUAUAUGACAUUCUUGUCUGUGAAUUGCAUCCCAUUGGUCAGAUCUUUUCAACUCUUAACUUUUAAAUUUGUGCUUAGGAUUAGUCUCUUCAUCUCCUCCCCAUUUCUUUAAUUUCAAAUCUCUCCCUCCUUUUAAAAUCUUCUUUGCUUGUGUUUGUUUUCUAAACUUAGACCGUAUUGCAAAUUAGAAACUAUGGCCUUAUGCUAUUGCAUUUUUCAAACUUAUUUUCUUAAUCAAACUUGUAAAUAAACUUAACUAUACUUGACUUAAACUUUCAAAAGCCAAAAAGAACUAACACGCAUCCAAACCUUUUUAGGCCUUUUGUGCCUCUUUCGAACUUAAAUUUUGUUAAAAGCAAUUGUUGAUUCUAAGUGUUGGCAGCAAUUUUGGUAAAACAAAGAGUGUUCACAAGAUGUCAUGUGUGAUGUCUUAACAUGAGAUAUCCUAUGUACCUGCUGGAGUUCAAGAACAUGUGCAUGCUGGAUUGUUUCAGAAUGCCAGAUAUAAUGACAAGGCUUCUGAUAUUGGAUGUACCUGCUGGAGCUUAGAUGAAAGACAUGUUCAUGUAGGAUUGUUUCAGAUGACAUACACAAUAUCAUGGCAUCUGAUAUGGCUGUACCUGCUGGAAGUUAUAAAAGGAAUUAUUGGAUUAUGCAGGAUUUUUCCAGGAUGUCAGACCCGAUGUCAUGACAUCCUGUACACAGAACAUUCAGUAUGAAUGUCCGGUGUUUUGUGAUUGCACAAUUAAUGGCAAUCUUUGGAUGAUUGAAGAUAUGGCUAGCUGGCGCAUUCAAUCAUGGAUUACAACCAGAUUUACUUAUUUUCCAAGGAGAUCUAAANNNNNNNNNNNNNNNNNNNNNNNNNNNNNNNNNNNNNNNNNNNNNNNNNNNNNNNNNNNNNNNNNNNNNNNNNNNNNNNNNNNNNNNNNNNNNNNNNNNNNNNNNNNNNNNNNNNNNNNNNNNNNNNNNNNNNNNNNNNNNNNNNNNNNNNNNNNNNNNNNNNNNNNNNNNNNNNNNNNNNNNNNNNNNNNNNNNNNNNNNNNNNNNNNNNNNNNNNNNNNNNNNNNNNNNNNNNNNNNNNNNNNNNNNNNNNNNNNNNNNNNNNNNNNNNNNNNNNNNNNNNNNNNNNNNNNNNNNNNNNNNNNNNNNNNNNNNNNNNNNNNNNNNNNNNNNNNNNNNNNNNNNNNNNNNNNNNNNNNNNNNNNNNNNNNNNNNNNNNNNNNNNNNNNNNNNNNNNNNNNNNNNNNNNNNNNNNNNNNNNNNNNNNNNNNNNNNNNNNNNNNNNNNNNNNNNNNNNNNNNNNNNNNNNNNNNNNNNNNNNNNNNNNNNNNNNNNNNNNNNNNNNNNNNNNNNNNNNNNNNNNNNNNNNNNNNNNNNNNNNNNNNNNNNNNNNNNNNNNNNNNNNNNNNNNNNNNNNNNNNNNNNNNNNNNNNNNNNNNNNNNNNNNNNNNNNNNNNNNNNNNNNNNNNNNNNNNNNNNNNNNNNNNNNNNNNNNNNNNNNNNNNNNNNNNNNNNNNNNNNNNNNNNNNNNNNNNNNNNNNNNNNNNNNNNNNNNNNNNNNNNNNNNNNNNNNNNNNNNNNNNNNNNNNNNNNNNNNNNNNNNNNNNNNNNNNNNNNNNNNNNNNNNNNNNNNNNNNNNNNNNNNNNNNNNNNNNNNNNNNNNNNNNNNNNNNNNNNNNNNNNNNNNNNNNNNNNNNNNNNNNNNNNNNNNNNNNNNNNNNNNNNNNNNNNNUUGAUGAUUGAAUUGGACUGAUUUGUGGUUGUAAUUUGUCACUCUAAAGCUGUUAAGCAAGAGUGUGUGUCUUCUUGAUCAAAGCUGUGAAGCAAGAUCAAGAGUGUGUCUUCUUGAUUGAAACUGUGAAGUAAAAUCAAGAGUGUGUAAUUGAAAAGUAUUUUCUUUUCACAAGGGAUUGUUGUUUAAAAUCACUGGUGUGUGAUUGUAGGGAAGUGAGUGGGUUCUCAUAUCUAAGAGUGCUUAGGUAGAAAUUGCACGGGUAGAGAUUAGGUGAGAAAGACUGUAACUUGUUGAAGUGUACGGAGAGUCUUUGAACUAAUUCUAUUUUAGUGAAUUUCCUUCCUGGCUUGGUAGCCCCCAGACGUAGGUGAGUUGCACCGAACUGGGUUAACAAUUGCUUGUGUUAUUCGCUUUACCAUUCUGUAUUUUUUUUAUCCAUUAUGUGUUAACAGAUAUUAGUGUCGUGACAUUACCUUCGACAUCUUAUAUCUGAUACCAGAAUUUCAGCAACUCACUCAUUUUGAAAUUGAUAUCACGAACUACGAGGUUUUGAUCCCUUAAUUUUAUGUUGGCACGUAGGCACAAGUCCGAUGGUCUUGUCAAACACAAAAAAUAUAAUUAAUGAAUUCUUUUCUCAUCUCCUCAUUUUAUUUAUUGCAAACAUCAUUUGUACAAAAACACAUAUGCACACAAGAAGGGGCUCCCUAGGAGUACCUAGGACACUUUGGGUGCUAACACCUUCCCUCUAUGUAACCAACCCCCUUACCUGUAAUCUCUGGCAUUUUAUUAGUUUUGCUUUGAAAACUUCUUAUCUUUUGGGUUUUGUUCGUGCUUUUCCCUUUUCCCUUGGAAACAAUAAAAGCACGGUGGCGACUCUGGUUUUAUUGACGUCUAGCUUACCCAUAGCUUGAUGGUCAUGAAUUUACCGCUACACCAACCACACUUGUAGUUCAUAACCAUAUCCAGUGCCAUGAUGUAGUCCACAUGAUCCACAAGUAUCUCAGAUCAAAAUUCAUUGUAGCACCAAAAUACCAAAGGCUUGAUUCUCAAGAACACCAUGAAGAGAAACUUAUCUAGCCUUUAUUCCAUGAACAUCAACCUCUGCAUUAAUGAUGUUAAUCUAAGAAAUGCAAUUGUACAUGAAUCAAUAUGGCAUGAGUAUGCAGAUGAACUUAGGGUCAAAAGUUAGAUGAAAAUGUAAUAGGCAGGAUAAUUUUUGGGGUAUGACAACAAGAUUGUGGUACAUGUUAUAUUUUGGUACCUUACUAUCAUUUUGGUACAUCUUAAAGUUACUUUACAAUCAUUUCGGUGCAUGUUUGGAACAAGUGUCAUGAACAACUGAUACACUUAAAGUUACCGAUUAAAGACUAAAAUCAUGUUCUUCAUUCAAAAUCAUAUUCAUUCAACAUUUAAUGUUGUAGAUUACACCAACAACAUUACACAUUUCAUUUAUCUAAACCAAUUACAUAUAACAUAAGUAAACCUUACAUUACACCAUUUAACAACAUUACAUAUUUCAUUCAUUUAAACCAAUUACACAUAACUAAAAUUCUUACUUCAAUACAUUAUAGAAAACUAAACCAAUUAUAAAAACAAAAGUGAUUGACACAGAUGAAUUCAUCAUAUUCUUCAUAAACUUCAUCUUAAUCUUCAUUUAUUCCUUUUUGAUCUUGACAACAUUUAAUUUAGACCUCUCCUCACUAAACUUGUGGUUCAGAUCAAAUAUUACUUCCUUGGCUCUUGGUGACAUUUAUUCAUCAACCCCACUUUUGGUCACAUCUUUUAUACCCUUGUACCUUAAACAUUCCACAACCGUAAAAACAACAACCUGGGUUCGAUUCGAUCCAGGAAGUCAUCAAUGGAGAUUCCAAUCCGUAAUUGCACUCUUCCUGGAUGUAUUUCACAACCUUUUGAUAAAUUGACUUCGAGCUUUGCAACAUUUUUCCGCGACUGAGAGAAGAUAAGAGAAGAGAAGGCAAAUUUAUUUAUGGAGAAUAUGAACCCAAUUUUAUGGAUGAAACAAAGCUACUGAGAGAAAAGAAGAAAACACAAAUUAAUUUAUGGAGAAGAUGAACCCAGAUAUAGGGCUCAAGCACAACUGCUAAGAGAAGAUAAGAGAAUGCAUAUGGAUUUGUGGAGAAGAUGAGGUAAUUUAAAUUGAAAAGAUUAAUUAAUUUAAUGUAUUUAAAUUAUUAAAAAAUUUAAUCAGAUUAAAAUUACAAAAUUAAUAUGACAUGACAGUAACUUAUACACGGGGCACAAAACAGUACCUGCCACGUCAUUAAAAUCCUGCCUAGUGAUGGGGGACCACAAAAAAAACAAGGAAUGUGAAUUAUAGGGACCAAAAAGCUGGUUUUUUUAAAGGAGGUGCAAAAAGUUAAGAAUAUUAAAAUAGGGGGACUAAAAGUGCAUUUAAGCCUCAGUUCUACUUAUAUUGAACGAAAAAUUGAUUUAUAUUGGAAUAAAUAAAUUAAUUCUACUUAUAAACUAAUUAUUUAUGUUAUAAUUGUAAAGAAUUUAUGAUUUGUCAUACAUGGUUUUAAAUUUACAUUGGGCCAUCGAUUUACUAAUCAUUUAUAGGCUCAUGAUCUAUUUCUAUAUCUGAUGGAGAUUAGGGUUUCAACAACGUAUCUACAACCCGUGAAAGUGCCGGUAGCUUAAGUUUCAUCUUUAUUUCAUGUUCUUCAAGCAGGUAUGUGUUAUCAUAAUAUUUGCAUGUGAGUUCUGAAUGUUGUUUUAUGACCUUUCCACUCUCAAUCGAGAAACCGAAAUCUCUAGUUCUAAUAGUUUUUCUUAUUUUCGUUAAUGGGUUCAUGUGUUUUUGGAUUUUUGUUGUCUUAUAUGGUUUUUAAAGUUUUCGUUAAAAAAAUUUUAAGCUUGUCUUGUAUGAUUUGUAAAUCGUAUACUCUAUUUUUGUAAUUUUAAUCUAAAAGUGAUGUAAAGUAAAGUUUUCGUUUUGUAGUUCUUUUGUUAAAAAGUUGUCUUCUUUCUUUACAAUGUAUGGAAAUUGUAUUGUCAUUGCAUGCACAAAUAUAAUAUAUGUUUUAAUAAAUGUUUCUUAUUCUGGUUACAUUUAGAAUAGAAUAAUGAAAGGUCUAAAGUCAGCGAUGUAUGGAUACAUAUAGGGUGAAUCUUUAUCAAGCAUGAGAUGAUGAAGUUGUGUUUUAUUUUUGAUUAACAUACAUAAUGAGUGUUUCAGUUUCUAUUGUUUUGUGGUUCUCCGAUCGAUUUAUUGAAUUGAAACUUUAAAUCAAAAAAGUUUACUUGAAAAAGGAACGAUUUUUUCACUAUAGACUGUUAUGUAAACAUUAUGGGUUUAAUAAAACUAACAUGCAUAUAACGAUUGUAUUUGUUUGUUUUAUGUUAUGUUUUAGAGUUUUACUUAAUUAGAUAUAGAGAUCUGGUAUAAAAUCAUGUCACUGACUAAUUUAUUUUUGAAGUUCUGAAAAGGCGAUGGAGACGAUUAAGGGUAUGGUAAUGGAGUUUGAUGAAAGUUUUAUAAAAGAAGGUUAUUAAGAAAGGUGACAAUGGGUCUAAAGUUGUUAAGAAAGCCAUCAACUUGACUGAAGUUGUCAAGCAACUUGAGCCUGUUAAUUCACGUGUGAAACAAACCAAAGUUGUUAUGAAAGUUGCUAAGAAAGCUGGCAAAAGAACCACAUUUGUUAAGAAAGAUGACAAUGGGAAUGUGAUCGAAACCAUUAAGAAUAUGAAUCAGUUUGAAGAUAUUGUAACAAAGGAAAAUUUUGUUAAGGGUAAAGUUAUGCAUAAUGAAUGAGGAAAUCAAACUAUUUUGAAUGGGAUCGAUUUGAAUGAAGUUGGCGAACAAAGCAACAAAGGGUACAACCAAUAUAUAUGGGAGAGCAGCAUAGUGAAUGCAAAAACCAAAGGGAGACAUUUCUUGGUAAUUUUAUAUACACAAAUUAUUUUUUCUUUAAUACUUGAUAACUUAUUAACUUUCAAUUAUUUGGAUAUUUUUGAAGCAUUUUCGUAGAGUAAUAGCAAAAAAAUGUCUGAUAAAAAAAUCAAAAAGAGAUCAAAAUUGUUGAUCUUGAAGCUGAUAAAACCUACAAAUGUACGGUUCACACAACAAUACAGAAUAACAUAACAAAGAAAUAUGAGAAGUAUAUUUCUCGUGGAUGGUAUGAGUUUGCGAAAAGUAAGAACUUUCGUGAUGGGGAUAUGUUGGUGUUUAGAAUAUGACAUUUUUCAACCUACAUGCAUGUAUCUUUAUGAGGAGUUGAGGCGUGGGUAUGUUUUAGAAGUCAGAUGUUGUGAUGUGGUUGUCAUGUGGUUCUUUUUAACAUGGUAUGGUUGGUUUAUUUUUCUAUUUUUCUUCUUCUAAAUUUCAAUGAAUAUGGAAAUCCCAAUAUUUUAGGAUAUGUAAUAUAUCUUAUUUUGGUUGUUUUGAAGCCAAUAAAUUGCAGUAACUGAUAUGAUAUCUAUAGUCAUAUGGUACCAAAUGAUAAUAUUAUGUUUAUAGUAUAUUAUAACAUUUGAUGAAUGUGUAAGGUAUAUGUGAUUGUUCAUGGUGACUUUAUUCUUUGUAGAGGUUAUGAAUAUAUCUAUAAUGUUUGAUAUAUCUGCAAUGUAUUUCCAAUCUACAAUGUAUCUGAAAAGUAUAUAUGCAAUGUCGACAUUCUCAUUGUGAAUAUUUUAAACUUAUUGUUGGAACAACAUUGUUCACAUCCCUUUGGUUUUGAUGAUAAUAAAGUACUUAAAGAACAAAUGGGCAUACUAACAUAUGUUCAAGCGUGCAAUCGCAAACAUAGAAUUAAUCCUGAUUGAAAGCAUAUAUGGAAAAGCAAAUGAGUUUGAUUCUGAUUGAUCAGAAUCUUAUGACUUUGAACGUGUUCACCAGCCUCCGAAGGAUUAGAGUCUGGUCAUAUGUUCUUGCAUCUGGUGACAACUCAGACUCUGAAAGUUUGAAGAGCCUCUAAUCCGUACACUGUACUAAAGCAGGCUAGUCUUGUCAAAGCUCCAGAUUUCUGGACAAAGUCAACUAGGGUUUCAUUUUGCAAGGCUUAUGGAAUGAUGAUGUGACCUCUUUAGUCUGUUCUACCUUUUGGUAGAUACCUAGUACUUGGAAAGAUAUUAUGAACAAUGCUAUUAUUCAGUGUAAAAUGCUUCAAAUCAGAUACAUUCUCCAACGACUCUCUUGGCAUGCUUCUUCACUAAGUUUGCUCUUUUGUUCAAACUCUCCAACGACUCUUUCUCUACCUCUAUAAAAGGAAGUCAAGAUUUGAAGGAAGGUGUACAACAACGCAAUACAAUAUCUUGAGCGUGACUAUGAGCUUUCAUUUGUAACUGUUAUUGCAUAGAAGUUACGAAUUAUAAUUUAAAUUAUAAUUAGUACUUUAGAUUUACAAUUUUGUAUUAGGUAUAAAUAAUAAGUAUUAAUAACAAAUCUAACGUCAGAUGAAAUGAGUCUUACAUGAAACUUGAAAUUAAAACUUAGUCAAAACAACAAUUAUUAAUUUAACAUAAAUAAUUAGUUUAUAAAUAGAAUUAACAGUUUUUAAUCAACAUAAUGUAAAACAAUGUUAUAAAAAAUUAUAAUGCUAAUAAUGCUAAUAAAAAGAUUAAUAAUGAAAAAAGAAUAAUAUUUAGGUAAUUAAAAAUAUUACUUUUAAGGACAUAAAAAAUUUGAUUUAUAUUAAAAUAAAUAAAUAAAUUUUAUUUAUAAACUAAUUAUUAUUUCCGUUAUAAUUGUAAAGAAUUUCUCAUUUGCCAUACAUGGUUUGAAAAUGUACACUGGACCUAUGGUUUAAUAAUCAUAACAUUUUGAAUUAAGAAAACUAGAAACAUAACAUUCAAUUAAAAUAUAGCUUUUUUAUUAUAAGACAUACUUGAUUCUCUUAAUUCUAUUUUGAAUUUUAGUACCUGUAUCAUAAAUAGACAGUUGCAUGAAUUUUGGAGUUUGACUUGACAUUAGUAACAUGCUACCUAUCAUGCGACAUGAUUGACCUUGAAUAUGGAAAGUAUGAGGAGGGCCCUUACCAUUGUUAAAACAAUUAUCCAUUUUUGCAUAUGGAGAUGUAAAUGCAAACAUUAUGUUAUACAUUCGUAUUUGUUGUUGGAAAUUUUUUGACUUAUUUUUUCAGUGUCAAACAAAACAUCCUGUAAAACCUUAGGUGACUUUUUUAACAAAGGAAUUUGAACCUUGCUAUUGCCACAACACAUGGAUAAUUUAGGAUUAGUUGCAUUUUGAAACUUAGUUUGCCUUUCUUGAUACCACAUAUUUGCCUCACAUUCUUGACAUUGUUUCAUUAGAUCUCCUAUAUCGUAGUAACCUCCUGACAACAAUGUAAUAAUAAGUGUUUGUAAUGUUAAUAUAAAUGUAUGUUCUCAUACGAUACCUGAAUCAUAAGAAAAAUUAUUUGUAAAUUAUGUUGCAUCAUAAUAAUUGUCUCCAUCCAAUAUUGUAUCUGACUCUGAACUAUAACCUAUUCCAACCAAAUCCAAAAAUAUAUAUAGUACAAUGAAAAUGAUAAAUAACAAAUAAUAUACUAUAUAAGAUAAUCUUACCUUCAGAGUCAUCAUCAUUUGAAUUAACAAAUAGGUCAUUACGUUCAGGACAUGUAAUAGGGUCGGUGUUUGACAUAAUUGGCUCUUUAUUAGCUAAUAUGACAAUCAAACAUUUUUUUUGCAAAAUUUUCCCCCAAUUUGUUAAUUUGAACAGAUGGAUUUUUUUAUCUGAUAUUAACCAUUGUAUUUGGUUGAGUUCUGGAAGAUGAAAUAUAUUGAGUGUGUUGAAUAAAACUUGUUGAAACAAUGUUGGUACCUUGAAAUUCAGUAUUCAUAUAUACUUACAUGAGUUGGAAUGUUAGUAUCAAUACUUACCAAUGGUGUUCUUAUACUUGAAGAUGCUCAGUCAAUGCUGGUAGUCAAAAGUUCAGUAUUUUUCUCAUUUUCGGUCUUCAAUUUCUUCAAUUUUUUCUGUUGAAAAAUGUUCUUUCUAUUAAUCUUGGUUUUUUUAGCCACACUCUUCUUCAACAUAUUUGUAAAGAACGUAUGUUCAUCGUCACUGACCUGAUCCAUGGCACAAACUCAAAUCUAUAUUUUAUGCAUAUAUAAUUAAUAUUGUAAAUCAUGACUAUAUAACUAGUAACAUAUACAAUAUAGUUAUUAGAAGUUAAUAGACACUAAACCACUAUUGUCAGUUGAAUUUAAGUAAAGUUCUUUUAAGUACAUUUUUUAAAUGUACAUCAUAGUUCCAAAUUCAAAUGUCAUGAAAUAUGUAUUUCUAGAAAAUAUACCAUAGCCGUUCUACUAUAGUGAGGCUACUAUAGAUACAAACAUUGCCUUAAUAAAAAAUUAGUGCAAAUAUUAUAUUUAUGUUAAUAGCAAAUAAUAAAUUUAUUGCUUACUAUCACACAUGUUCAGAAUGAGAAAAACAUAAACAUAAAUACUUUAAAAAAAUUGUAUGAUGAAUACACUUAUGCUCGGGUAUAUAAGCUUAUCUAGAAUGAUAUUUCCAUGUUGGUAUUAGUUAGACAUAGAUGUAAAAGCCCAAACUUCUUUGUAUAUCAAUAUACCUCAUGUAUAUAUACAACAUAACGUGUAUCAAUAUAUCAUAAUUUAAUAUUUUCUGAUAUGAAGUUUGUUGUAGAAAAUAACUUUAAUAUAGUCUUUAUUAAUACAUAACAUUUGUUCUCAUUUGAAUAUCAAGAUUUUUAAUUGCAAAUGAAAUAUUUUGAAUUGCAAUAUAGAGUGUCAUACAAAGCAUUCAUUUCUUACUUAUGUUAUAACAUAAAUAGACAUUUAGUAUUAUAUGUUUAUAUUGCAAUCCACCUGUUAUUUACAUGUCAUGUUUUAUUACUUGAAAAAUGAAUGAUUAUUUAUGCAAUGCUAAGUAUAAUAUCAGGAUCACAGUCAUUUACUUACGAAAUCACAUUGACAGUUGUUAACUAUUUUUUAUAAAUAUUAUGAGCAAACAACUGUAACUUUACAUGUGAUAUGUAUCAACUUUUCAAAUAUGAUUUAGAUUAAUAACAAAGCUAAAGCAACGGACAUUCAUUUUAUUUUCUACGUAUAUAUGGUUUUCAUUCAUAAGGUCUAAUAACACAUCUAAAGUAAACAACUGCAAAACUACACAUAUUAAAGCAUCAUAUUAACGACAAAUGAAAAUCUAACAUUCAAUUCCAAAUCAUCCAAACAAAUUGUUUCAUUAAAGUACAAUCUCAAAAAUAUCCAGCAUGAUUAAAACUAUUUUUAAAUUCAUCAAACACCCACUUUGAUAUAUCAAUCACUUUACCAACAGAUUUCUGGUAAAUGCAAACAUUCAAAAUGAAGCUUUCUCAUAAAUAGAAAGCCUACAAACCAAAACACAAACGCAAUAAAAAAAAUUCAAAGUUUUUCAAUUGUUUGAUUCAAUCUUUAAUUUUUUUUGGUGGUUUGGUCGCUGAGUAUUGAGUAGCUCAAACUAAAUCACAAUUUAUAUUUACAUCCUUAGCCACGCCGGAUUGAAAUUUUACUGGAGUUGAUUCACUAUUAACAACAAGUUCAUUUUAUUCACAUGCAAACAUUAAUGCUACAAAAAAUAUAAAUGCAAUUUUCAUAAUUAAUAAUGAUGACAAAAAUAUAUAAAAAAACAAACAUAUAUCUCCAACGAAUAGUUAUUGAAUCACAAAUGGUAAAUCAAUAUUUUCUUGGCUUAUAAUAACAUUUGCAAAUUGUGAUAUAAAAUGAUUCUGAACAAAUGGCGUAUGGGCCACACAUUGGGGCAUAGCUAUGUGCACCCCUCUAUAUUUAUUACAAAUUUAUUUAUUUAUUUAUUUUCUUUUGGUCGUCAUUGGGCCUUUGGACCAUGAUUGUUCUUUCUUUUACUAGUUUCUUCACCUAGUAUUAUAUCUUGCACCCCUCCUCACACUUAAUUGUUUUCUUUGCAAUUUUAUUUAUUUUGUUUAUUUUUUAAUUAAUUAACUAAAUAAUUAAUAACUAAAAUGAAUAUUUCAAAUUAAAAACCGUUGAUCCAACGUCAAGUGGCCUUUUAUAAACUCAUCAUCUUUCGAUCGAUUCAGAAUCAACGCAAAUCAAACUUUUAUCCAUAUCAAGUGCAUUUUCUAAAUUAAAACAAAAAUAGCUAAUCAUUUUAAACAUCUUUUCACAAAUAGGAUGAGAAAGAAAUAGUUUAGUGUCUACCACUCUUUUCCCUGAUUGCUUAGAUACGAGUCGUAUAGCUCGACCAUUCGAGCAUUUGUCAUUCGUUUAAAACUCUUAACAGGAUUCAUAUUGGACUUCUUUCAUAAACCAUACUUAAGUGUUCUCAUUUUCAUAAUAAAUCGGAUGAAAAAUGAACGAUUUGGUGUCUACCACUCUUUUUCCCAAAUAGAUGGAUAUGAGUCGUAUAGCUCGACCAUUCGAGUAUUCGUCUUCCAUUCAAAAUACAUUAAUCACAUAUAACCCUUUUACAAUUAAUUGAAUGGAAAAUGAACAAUUUGAUGUCUACUACUAUUUUCAUUGAUUGCUUGGAUACGAGUCGUAUAGCUUGAGCAUCCGGGCAUUCACCAUUCACUCAAAAACAAACUUCAAUCCAUCAAACCUAUCUUUUUUCUUGCCUGUGCGAUCGAAACCUUUUCAAAAGAACACUGUUUAUUUUGUUAUACUGCGAUACAAACAAACGCUUAAGCCUCUAAUCGUGAGAAUACAAACAACGUUUAACCGCUAGAAUGUGAUCUAAACAUUCAUUCAAUAAAAUCAACCAACCAAUACGUAGUUUUUUACGAAAAACUAUGUAGCUUUGAAAUCCUCAUCACACCUGAGGAUACAUAUGAGCAAGACCCACAAUCUUGUCAAGCACCCUAAUAAAAACCUUUGUUUCCACCUUUUACUUUUCUCUCAAACUUUUAAAAAUUGAAGAAAACAAUAAACAUACACUAACAUUCUAUUCGUAAAUAUAACUAAAUGAUUCCUAUUGAGUACAAGGAAAGUGAUGGGUGCCAAUACCUUCCCCUCACAUAAUCGAACCUUGAACCUGAAUUUUGUUGCAACAACCAUUUUCUUUUUCUUUUAAGAGUUUUAUCGAUAUUUUCCAUUUCCUUUUGGAAUAAACAAAGUUAGGUGGCUAUUUUGUUUAUCAUCUCGAGCCUGCGAGUGCUCUAGGUCAUUUUUUGCACCGCGAUAGGUGGUCGCUACACACAAAACAUCAUGCUGGAACAUCUUAUUUCACAUGAUCAUUACUCCCCUGUUUUUUUGCCACAAAUUGGCAAAGUUAUGGAAAGAACCACAAACCAAGGUCACAACCAAAAGAACAAGCUUGACAGGAACAACAACCAACUAGACCAACACACAUCUCCAACCAAAGGACCUUGAAAAGGGAACAAGUAACUAAGGAUCACAAAAAUAGCAGUAGCAACAACAACAAGUUAAGGUCACAAAGCUCCAACAUUUCUCUAUCAAAAACCAGAUCAAUUUCAUCAACAUGUGCACAAAAGUGUAUCACAAUGUCCACCACAACUUUCCCAACAUUCAAUAUGUAACUCAAAGUCAAAACACUUGAGGCAACACCAAUCUCAUCAUCACAAAUAACAAUGUAUUUCUUUUGAACACUCAAAAUAUCACAUACUAGAGAGGGAACACAUAUAAGUGGUUGGAUGCCAUGAGACUCAAUAUGUUUAACCAAUUGAAAAAGAAAAUAUUCUCCUUAUUCCAAGGUAACAUAAGUUCCUAAUUGGUACAAAAAACCAGUGGUGCAUCAAUAGGCAUCUUAUGAUUGCAGACUUAUAAUAUUACCAAAACCAGAUUUAUCAAUAACAAGAACAUUGGGAGGACUAAUAUCUAAGACAUCUUUCCCAACAAACAACUCACAACUGAAAUUCAGCAACCCAUGAGGAAUACCAUCAUUUUUAACCACUAAUUCUUUCAUCAACUUCAGAUAACCAUAUCCACCAUUCAACAUAGUCUUCAAUAAUUGAGCAUCACUAAGAAGAUCCAUAAUUUCAUUAUACUUCAGUGUUUCAACAUAAUGUUUUUCUUCAUCUUCAUCUUUAGUUUCCUCUUCUUCCUCAUUUCCAUCUUCCUUUUUCUUGGAUGUAAUCUUGUCAAUAGAGAAAACCUUAUUAGACCCUGCAGACUUGCUUAUGCCCAAAUAACCAUUAAUAAUUGAAGGUAAAAACUUCACACACUUUCCGAUAUGAUACAUCUUUCUAUACUCUUUAUUUCCUUCAACAUUACACUCAAUAGUAAUGUUCACAGUGAAUUCCUUGACUAGAUUUUCAUAGCAAGGACCAUCGUCAGUUACAAUUUUCAUUAACCCAACUGCUUUCAGUAACUCCAUAAUCUAUUUACAAUCAAAAGCUUCUUUACCUAGUUCUUUUUCACCAACAAUCCUUCUUUGGAAAACAUGCGUCCACUUUUGAACACUUUUUUCAUAAUGAAAUGAAAUAUUAUCCCUGUGAGCAGAGGAUACAUUCACAAGAAUUCUCUUCCCACCAACCUUUCUCCUUACAAUGUGCACAAUAUCCUGGACAUCUUCUUCAGCAUCUGUCAGAGUCACUUGAGUGUACAAUCUUUCUCUUUAGAGACUUCUUCUCAACAUCUUUACUUUCCGCUGACUUUCCUUUUGGAUUUUUGUCCUUAUUAAUAUCAAUAUCCUUAGAUAUUGUCUUUAGAACAUGAACCGAUCCAAUCAUCUGAAGAGGUACAACAUUGAGUACCACAUCUUGUUCAUCAAGCUUGGCAACUUGGCCAUCCUUCUUCUGAGUUGGAAACUCAAUCACCAACAUGCCAUAUAGUUUAUCUGACACAUCCUAGUUGAUAUCUUCAUUACCAUCUUGAGAAUAUUUAAGCUUGACAAGAGAAGAAACACUUCUAGACUUACCAUUGGCCUUUCCUUUAAUUGUUAUGACUUUCAUACAAACUCCAUGAGCUUUUAUAACUACAACAUAUUUUUCAUGCUUUUUCUUAGAUGUCUACUUUGGAAUUCCAUAAUUAUUCAAGAAUUUCCUUGUUCAUAACAUCCUUUCAAAUUAACUUCAGACUUGUAGAGGAAAUUGCAGAAAUGUUGUUGACACCGGCACUAGCAUCCUGAUAGACUUUCACAUAAUCAUCCUUCUCAAUGACACCAUCCAUGUAAGUGACAUCAUUAUAAACAUCCUGAUUUACUUCCAUAUUCAAGUACCUAUUGAGGAAGGCACUUUUCACACCCAUAUGAUAAAGUGUGAACAUAAGACUACAAGACAAACCUAGCAACAUUUUGAUGGCCUCAAGAUGAGAAAUAUAGAUAAAAGCUUCAUCGAAGUCAACCCCUUUUUUUUGGAGCAUAGUCUUGUGCUAUAAGUUGUGCCUUCUUUCUAGUAAUAAUCUCAUUACUUUUCUUGUUUAGAGGCACCUCUAUGUCAUUCAAGUUAUCAUUAACAUCUUUUACUGCACGAGCAUUCUUUCUUCUUGAUGCAUAUUUUCUAUUCUUCUUAUUGUUAUUAACACCAUAAUCAUUGGCUACAAUAAUAUCAACCUAAACAUCAUCAUGGAAAUGAUCAUCAUCACUCACAAAAUUAUUUGUAAGGGUCACAUCAUCAUUCUUGUUAUGAAUUUGAAACUUUGUCUCCAACAUGUCAGACAGGACGUUUGACACAUCCUUAUAAAGGACGUUUUCACCAGAAACCAUAUCAGACUUGUUAAAAUAUGGAAUAUUAUGGGGAACAAUGUCUAGGACUUGUUUCUUGACAUACAACUUAUACUAAAAUUCAACACAUUAAGGGGAACCCCAAUAGGAAGAAUUGUGCCAUAAUCACUAAUCUUCUUUAGCUUCUUCUUCUAAACCAUAGUUGGUUGUUCAAUGUUGGGAGGGCCUCCGACCUGACCACCAGUCUUCCCUUCAAUGACAACUCCUUGCAUAAGUCUUAUAAAGUCCAUAAGUGAUAAUUUAGAAACACGAGUAAGAUGCUGAAGCAACCUAUAUGACAUCUUAGUUUGCUUCCCAACUUGACACAUGUUAUAAAUUUUACCUUCUUCAAUUUUGAGAUCAGACAUACACAUGACAAAUUUCUCUACAACAAAGUUCCUUGCACUCAUAAUCUUUCUAUGCUAUAACUUAGUUUAUGUAUCUAAAGUAUUAUCCAUGAUGUCAGGAGCAUGUUCUUCAACAUUCUUAUGGGAGGCACAAGAACUAUGAAUAAUAAUAGUAGGGUUAUCACACCUAGCUUGUUGAUGAUACCUAUGAGACUUCCCAUUCCACUGAGAAUACAUAUGUUGAUGUUGUGGUUGUCUGCCAUAUAAUUUACAACAGUACAGUGGAAUUGAGUAGAACAAAUUAAUGCAGUGGUAAUGGUGUUUGACACGAUGUUGAGACAUGUUACUUGACAUUGGGCAUCCUGUUUUCUGAAAAGGAGUAAAACACAUAUUAUUUGAAUUUGAUGGCUCAUCAGUAUAUAUAGCACCUUUCAUGUCUCUGAUGUGUGUAGUGAAAGUCACAAUAAUGUUUUCUUGAUUAGAUUCACCUUCCUCAUCAUUAAUGAUAUUGUAGAUUUUUCUUUGAUUCCUUGGAAAACUUAAGCAUUUAGCUUGAAUAUGUCCAUUUUUUUGCGUUUAAGACAUUGGGUCCAGUUGAGAUUUACACCAUCUAUUCCUUUACAAUGAAAGUUACACCUCUUGCAAUUGUGUUGUUGUUUGUCUUAAAAAUUUGUAGAGACAUUAUUCUCAUAUCUCAUAGCUAGUUUUCUCACGACUUUACCAAAGAUCUUAGCAAGCAUGAGAUUUUCUUCAGUAUCAUAAUCUACUCGGUCUUUAAAAUCUUCAUAAUUAUCUUUAACUCAAUUCUUUGGAGGAGUCUUAAUAUCAUUAAGAAUCUUUGGUUGAUGAAUUGCUCCUCUUUUAAAAUUUUCCAUCUUGAACAUAAUCAGAACCCUAGAACACACCCAAACAGAACAAGGUGCUUGCUCUGAUGCCGAUUAAAAUUUUGUUCUCAGGAGGACAAAUGUUAGACCAUAUGCCUAAGACAAUGUGUUCAACAUCUUAUACCAAAAUUGAUAGAUAUAAAGAACGCAAGAGAAUUGUUAACUCAGUUCAGUGCAACAACACCUAUAUUUGAGAGGCUUCCAACCCAAGAAAGGAAAUCCACUCUCAAUAGUAUUAGUACAAAGUGUCUUAGAUGAACACCCAUUGUUCAACUCCCCUCUUCUUAAUACUACCAGUGCCUUUAUAUUUAGGACUCUCCCUAAAUAUGAGAACCCCUAUCACUUUAUCUCAACCACUAACGAUAUUGAUCAAUACAAUAAUAAUGAAUUACAAUUCAACUAAUAAUUAACCUUUAUGCCUUGAAUACUCAAUUUAGACUUAUUAUAAAGACGUACAAAAACAACAAAUUACAAAGACUCAAAGAACCAAAUCCUAACACACUAGAUCUUUAAUAUAUGUGUUCACUUCAAAUGUUAGGUUUGAGUCUCCUUAAAUAACAAUGCAACUUUUAGGCUUUUCUCUAAUGACAUAAGAUUUGAUCACGUCCAGAUUUAUAGAGGAUUCUGUUUUGAUUUAUUUUUCAAAAACCUCAAACGAAAAGAUUUAAUUUAUUUUGAUUCAAAUUUAAAUAUCUAAAUAAUUAGAUUUGAUCUAAUUCAAUCUUCCAAACAAAUCUAAUCAACACAUUGCUAACAGAUAAUAACAAAUCUGAUUGAAACACCAACCAUAAUUUUCUCUCAAAAUAACAACAACCAUGGCCUGUUGACAAAGGCCAAAUGUUGCAUACGUGAUGGGACAUUUGGUAUGAGAUCUGUCAACGUAACAAAAUUCUGAAUCUUGAACAAAUCAAAUAAAAACUUUACUUGAUAUACAUCAUAAUUGCAACUUAUCAAGUAAAAGAUUCAGAAUUAAUCUCUUGCAAAAACUAAACCACGCUUUAAAUCAUCCUUAAUUGAGAUUGGAAAUUUCUUCAACAAGUGAAAAUCCAAAGCUUGUAAUUAAAACAAAUCCAAUAAAAUAUCUUCAUGUAUUAUUUAUUUAAUUAAAACUUCAAUCAAUAUCUUUGUAUAUCAAUUUCAACAAAUCUUAGAUUGAAUAAAACCGAACUAAAUCUUCCUUCAAAGCAUAUUCAAUUAAAUCUUUUUCUUUAAUGCAAAUCCAAUCAAACCAAAUCUUCUUAUUUGAAUAAAAUAGUUUCCAAAUUGAUUUGGAUUACCAAGCUUCUUCCAAAAGAAAACUUAUGUAUCUUCUGAAGAAAUAAACACAAAAACAAAUUUGAAGAAAAUCUGACCUUAAUUCGUACGCUAAGAUGUCACAAACAUGUGCUGAACAUUUUACUCAACAACCUGCUUACAACCAAAUAUUUCUGUCAAACACUUUAGCAGAAACUGGGACUGAACAAAUCUUCUUAGAAACAAACACAAUCACACUCAAAUUUUCUCAUGAAAUCUAGCUAACAGACUGAGGCUAGAUGUUGCACCUCAUGUUUGAACAUCUGGUCCCACAUGAUGCAUCUUCACAAUUAACAUCUUGUACUACCCAUGCUAUUUUACCAAAAUCAGCCAAUCAAAAGAACAACAAAAUGAAUAAGUGAAGCUUGUUCGAUUGUGCUUAAGUGCAAUAUUGUGUACUUAUGUUCUAUAUGAAGCAUUGUAAGGUACAUUGUACUUAAGUGCAAUGCAGAACAUCAUAAGGUACAUUGUUCUUAAAUGGAAUACAAAACAUAUAAUGUACAAUGCGCUUGAAUGAAAUAUGGAACACCGUAAGGUACGAUACACCAAGUGAAAUACAGUACACCUUGAGACACGAUGCACUUAAGUGGGAUUGUUGAGCUUGCAACCUAUAUAAGCAUUAUAUAAAUAUAACUCUUACGUUGAAGUUUUCUCAUUUGAUGAAAUUCAAUUUAUGAAACUCUAGUUGUGCUCUCUCUCUCUCUCUCUCUCUCUCUCAAAGUUUUCAUUCAUAGAACCUAACAAUGAGAUUGAAGACACUAUGUUCACGUGGACUGAGUAGAGCCGUUGUUGUUCAACGCUCGUGAUCGUUCUUCUAAUUCUGCAUCAAUAGUUAAUCGCCACAAGAGGUAAUCACUCUAUCAUUGAUCAUGCUUAUUCUUAAGGAUUGACUUAAGAGAAAUUUUUUGUUUUUGCAUUGCGUUUCAUAUCGUAAUUUCACUUGAGAUGCGCGGAGGAAUAGUCAAAUAGACAAUAAUGACAUUGUGAUGGUGAUGAGUAUGGUAAGGAAGAAGCUACUAUAUGACUGGUGGUUCCAAAUGUGAGACAUGAAGAUGUUGUGCAGAAGUUAGUAGCGAUAAUGGAGUUUUCUUCUAAGGAUGAUAUUUUCUUAUUUUUUAUGUGUUGAUGGAACAUGACCCUCAUCGUGAAGAUAGCCUAUGAUGACCUCGAGCUUUUUUUGGGUUGAGCUAAAAAAAUGAGUGGUAAACAAGCUUUAAUAUUAUUAUCUAAGUUUGGUUGAUUAUAAGGUUUUCGAAUCGUCAUGAUUAAUGCAAAACUUUUUUAUUUUUAAAAAGCAUUAUAAAUGUGACCCCUUAAAUAUUGUUUUUUAAAUGACCUUCUGUGGCCACUAGUACCAUGUCCUCAUCAUCAUCCACUUGAAUGAAGACACAACCUCCCUAAUUGAAUUGACUUUAGAUUUAAUUAAAAAAAAUAUGCGCUUUUAAACUUAUUAAUAAAAAAAAGUAAAAUUAUUGAAAUAAAUUUCUUUAAUGUAAGAUCAUUUUAAAUUUUUGGAUUCUAUGUAAAAAUUUCAAUUUAGCGAAACUUCGACAAUCACAAUAUAUAAAUUAUAUUUAACCAUAACUUAGUUAUGAUAAAAAAUAUAAAAAUGUUUUAACCGACUCUAGAAUGAGGACAAAAUACUAACCAGAGUUAAUAUACCAUUAGAAAUAAUAAUAUUUUCUGACACUCUCAUUAUCUUUUCUUAAAAGUGUUCUUCUUGAACAAAAUUAAAAAAUAAAAAUAUUUUCACAAAAUAACCGAGGAGAUAUCAACUUCUCCAAUAGUAACUAUGUAUAUAUUAUUUUAUUUAAUAAUAAAUAUAAAUAUUAUAUUUGGUCAAUCUAACUCUCAAAUUAAAAAUUCUUAUUGAAUAAAUUAAUUAUUGUAUUUUUCACAAAAAUUUCAACUUUAUUCAAUAUUUCAAUCAUACAUAUAAAACCUUAAAGAUACAACUAAAUAUUCAACAUUCAAUUAUAUAACUAUAAUUUUUAAUUAUAAGGCUUAAUAAUUAACAUAAACUAUAAAUUUAAUAUUUAGAUUAUUCAAAUAUAAUAUUUAUAGUAAAUCAUUAAACAAAAUAAUUCUACACAAAGCUUCUUCUAGGAUAUGUUAAUCUUUUAUGAGUUGUUAAUAUCGUCACCAUUCAAAGUGGAGUGUGCUAUCCACAAGUCCAUCAACACGUGUAACAAACACUUCAAUUUUCUCUUGUUAUCUCAUCCGCCACCAACCCAUUUCAAACCCAAAAACUUUUGAACACAAACAGAAAUUCAUACCCUAUUCAAUGGAAUCUGUUCUGAGCCAAACUGGUGUAGUAUUUUGCCAUAAGCCACGUUUUGGUGAGACAAAAAAUGGAUUCUUAGGCACCAAUUUCAACAACAAUUGUUCCUUUGGUAGGGGAGUUAGGAGUGUGGUGGUUGUGAAAGCGGAAGCAGGGGGUGUGAGUAGUAUAAAUCCAGAUGUAAGGAAGAAUGAAGAAAAGGUUGUUGAUGCUGUUGUGGUUAAUGAACUCUCCAAGCCUGUUACCCCUUAUUGCAGGUAAAGGUUUUGGAAGUUUUUUGUUUCUUGUUAAUUGUAUCAUUAUGAAUCUUAAUUAGUGUGAUGUUAAUAUGUUACUAGUGAAAUUUUCAGUUUUAUUGGUUGAAAUUUGGGAUUUAGGGUUUGAUUUUUUUUUUUUUUUGGCUUUGGGAAUUAGGGUUUGAUUUGGGGAUUUUGUUUUGGCUUUGGAUGUAGGGUUUGAUUUGGGGAUUUUGUUGGGUUUGGGAUUUAGGGUUUGGAUACAAAUUUAGAAGACUAAAAAUUUGUUGAGAUAUUUAAAAGAACUGAAACAUAUUUAAUUGAAAUUAGAUGAAUAUUUGUGAAGGGUAGUUUGUGAAUGUUAUUGUUAUUUGAUUAGUCAAGAAACAUGCUUUUCAUGUUUUGAAGUUAUGACAAUAAUUCAUUAAGGCUAUAUUUGGAUAUUAUAAAAUGAACAAAUUGGAAUGAAAUGAAAUUACCGGAUUUGAAUGAAAUGGAAUUGAACCGGGCGGAAUGUAACCGUAAAAGAAUGGAACUGUAACAUAGUGGAGCGGAAUGAAAUGGAAUCGAAAAGUAAAGCUUUUAAGUCUUUUAUCAAAUGGAAAGUCUUGAAUUUUCCUUGCGUAUAGUUUUCUUAAUUUUAUGUACAUGUUUAAAUUACAAAAGUUCUUAAUCUUUUUCUGGCUUUUUUGGGGGUGCUUUGUUGCAGAUGUUGGAGAUCAGGAACUUUUCCUUUAUGUGAUGGCAGCCAUGUAAAGCACAACAAGGCCACUGGAGAUAAUGUUGGGCCUCUUCUUUUGAAAAAGUAAAAUUAAGGAUUUUCACUUGUGUUAUUUCAGAGAAAUUAAAUUUUCAGAGGUU